AUAAGGUUAAGUUAAUAAGGGCGCACGGUGGAUGCCUUGGCACUAGAAGCCGAAGAAGGACGUGACUAACGACGAAAUGCUUUGGGGAGCUGUAAGUAAGCGCUGAUCCAGAGAUGUCCGAAUGGGGGAACCCGGCAUGUAAUGCAUGUCAUCCAUGACUGUUAAGGUCAUGAGAAGGAAGACGCAGUGAACUGAAACAUCUAAGUAGCUGCAGGAAGAGAAAGCAAAAGCGAUUGCCUUAGUAGCGGCGAGCGAAACGGCAGGAGGGCAAACCGAGGAGUUUACUCCUCGGGGUUGUAGGACUGCGACGUGGGACUAAAAUUAAUAGAAGAAUUACCUGGGAAGGUAAGCCAAAGAGAGUAAAAGCCUCGUAUUUAAAAUUGAAAUUAGCCCUAGCAGUAUCCUGAGUACGGCGAGACACGCGAAAUCUCGUCGGAAUCUGGGAGGACCAUCUCCCAACCCUAAAUACUCUCUAGUGACCGAUAGUGAACCAGUACCGUGAGGGAAAGGUGAAAAGCACCCCGGGAGGGGAGUGAAAUAGAACCUGAAACCGUGUGCCUACAACAAGUUCGAGCCCGUUAAUGGGUGAGAGCGUGCCUUUUGUAGAAUGAACCGGCGAGUUACGAUAUGAUGCGAGGUUAAGUUGAAGAGACGGAGCCGUAGGGAAACCGAGUCUUAAUAGGGCGACAUAGUAUCAUGUUGUAGACCCGAAACCAUGUGACCUACCCAUGAGCAGGUUGAAGGUGCGGUAAAACGCACUGGAGGACCGAACCAGGGCACGUUGAAAAGUGCUUGGAUGACUUGUGGGUAGCGGAGAAAUUCCAAACGAACUUGGAGAUAGCUGGUUCUCUCCGAAAUAGCUUUAGGGCUAGCGUCGAUGUUAAGUCUCUUGGAGGUAGAGCACUGUUUGGGUGAGGGGUCCAUCCCGGAUUACCAAUCUCAGAUAAACUCCGAAUGCCAAGACGAUAUAAUCGGCAGUCAGACUGCGAGUGCUAAGAUCCGUAGUCGAAAGGGAAACAGCCCAGACCACCAGCUAAGGUCCCAAAAUAAUUGUUAAGUGGAAAAGGAUGUGGGGUUGCACAGACAACUAGGAUGUUAGCUUAGAAGCAGCUAUUCAUUCAAAGAGUGCGUAAUAGCUCACUAGUCGAGUGACCCUGCGCCGAAAAUGUACCGGGGCUAAAACAAUUUACCGAAGCUGUGGAUUACCUUAAGAGGUAAUGGUAGGAGAGCGUUCUAUAUGUGAAGAAGGUAUACCGUGAGGAGUGCUGGAACGUAUAGAAGUGAGAAUGCCGGUAUGAGUAGCGAAAGACAGGUGAGAAUCCUGUCCACCGUAAGACUAAGGUUUCCAGGGGAAGGCUCGUCCGCCCUGGGUUAGUCGGGACCUAAGGAGAGACCGAAAGGUGUAUUCGAUGGCCAACAGGUUGAUAUUCCUGUACUAGUGUAUAUAGUGAUGGAGGGACGCAGAAGGCUAACUAAACCAGACGACUGGAAGAGUCUGGCCAAUCAGUGAGGCGUGAUAUGAGUCAAAUGCUUAUAUCUAUAACGUUGAGCUGUGAUGGGGAGCGAAUUAAGUAGCGAAGUUAGUGAUGUCACACUGCCAAGAAAAGCUUCUAGCGUUUAAGUAUACACUACCCGUACCGCAAACCGACACAGGUAGUCGAGGCGAGUAGCCUCAGGUGAUCGAGAGAACUCUCGUUAAGGAACUCGGCAAAAUGACCCCGUAACUUCGGGAGAAGGGGUGCUGUCAGCGAUGACAGCCGCAGUGAAUAGGCCCAAGCAACUGUUUAUCAAAAACACAGCUCUCUGCUAAAUCGUAAGAUGAUGUAUAGGGGGUGACGCCUGCCCGGUGCUGGAAGGUUAAGAGGAGUGCUUAGCGUAAGCGAAGGUAUGAAUUGAAGCCCCAGUAAACGGCGGCCGUAACUAUAACGGUCCUAAGGUAGCGAAAUUCCUUGUCGGGUAAGUUCCGACCCGCACGAAAGGCGUAAUGAUUUGGGCACUGUCUCAACG
rnacentral:rRNA from 1 species